UCCUACGGGAGGCAGCAGUGGGGAAUAUUGGACAAUGGGCGAAAGCCUGAUCCAGCCAUGUCGCGUGUGUGAAGAAGGUCUUCGGAUUGUAAAGCACUUUAAGUUGGGAGGAAGGGCAGUAAGUUAAUACCUUGCUGUUUUGACGUUACCAACAGAAUAAGCACCGGCUAACUUCGUGCCAGCAGCCGCGGUAAUACAA
rnacentral:rRNA from 1 species